CGAGAAUACGGCCAAACUUGAAAAGACUUUGGUGUUGCUGUCUGGUUAGGCUGAGCAGGAGUUCACAGCUAAGAGUUUGCCUUGAGCCUCAGAAGAGACUUUGGACUUGGAGUAUUCAGCACUGCUAAAACUGUUAAAAUUUUAACAAUUCUUAGAGGGAUGGACUAAAUGUAUUUUGCAUAAUGAGAUAUGAUUGUGCAGCCCUUAUAUGAAGACCUAGACCGAAAGAAAUCAGAAUGUGAGGCCUGAGAAGACUUUCCCAAGGUUGGCUAUAUGAGAACUUUGGGACCCAGAGGGCUGCUUGGUUCAUGCUUGGAGAAAAGCACUCCAGCCUAUUCUCUCCUGGUGGGAUGAGAAGAACACGGUUGCAGUGGAUGAAGGUGGACUGUGGAUGGAAAUGGAACUGACAGCCACUAUAAAGUUUUAAAAAGGCACUGCAAAAGCUCCAAGGGGUGGGCGCUGCCUGUCUCAGGAGACGUCCUUGGUACCAGCAUCUUUUUCUUCAGACCUGCCAUCUGUUCCAGUGAAUAAUUCUACCAACCACGUUUUCCAUGAUUUGCCUCAUUAUGUCUCCACGUCCUUUACACACCCUUGCUGAGCACAGCUGUAUAAAGAUUUGAGGGGGAUCAAACUCAGAACCUUGCACUCGUGAGGCAGGCGACAGCACCACUGAGGCUUACAAUGGCUGCCUGAAGAGUCAGAUGUGGAAGAAUGCAAAGGGAUGUCUGCAUGUUGGAGAUCCAAGGAUCCACUCAAAAGUCAAAAGCCUGGAAAUCACUACAGAGUCCUGCGUGAGUCCAUAUCAGGAAGCAGAAGAGCCUGCACUAGAAGUCUGGAGAUGAAUGUUCAAAGAUGAUGGUGAAGAUGAGCUCCUCCAAAGAAGCUGAAGCCAUACCUCCUCCUCUUCAUUUUUAUUUCAUCCAGGUUUCAAGCCUAUUGGCUGGUGCCACCAACACCCAGUGUGGGUCUUCUCUCUUUAGUAACUCCAUUAUCCAGACACACCCAGAACUAUGCUAAGCCAAUCAGCCAGAUACUUUUUUAUUCAAGUUGACACCACAAUUAACUAUCACAUCUUGGGAUCAAGGCAACCUGUGAGCUUAUGUGAUGGACUAUAUUCAGGGAACUAAUCCUUUGUUCAAAAGAAGGGAUAUAGGCUUUUCCUCUUUUAUUUUUACUUUCUUGAGAGAAAAAGGUAAAAUUACUAAUCAAUUUUCAAAGUUUGACAAAACAUUGUGACAAAAACAUUGUGUUCACAGACUCAAUAUGCAGCAGCUUGUCAUUUUAUUUUUUUUCCAAUUUUUUAUUAGGACAUGUUUGCCCACUCAGUUCAAACACCUCAGUGUAUUAAAAGCCCCCAGGAUCAAAACUACUUCAGUUUAGAGACUAUACUGCUAUUCAUGAAGAAAUGCAUUUUUCAUGUUUUUUUUUUUCCUGGAAAAAAAUC
rnacentral:lncRNA from 1 species